CCCUGGCAGCUUGCUGCCGGGGUGAGAGUGGCGAACGGGUGAGUAAUGCGUGACCGACCUGCCCCAUGCACCGGAAUAGCUCCUGGAAACGGGUGGUAAUGCCGGAUGUUCCACAUGAGCGCAUGCGAGUGUGGGAAAGGCUUUUUGCGGCAUGGGAUGGGGUCGCGUCCUAUCAGCUUGUUGGUGGGGUAACGGCCUACCAAGGCGUUGACGGGUAGCCGGCCUGAGAGGGCGACCGGCCACAUUGGGACUGAGAUACGGCCCAGACUCCUACGGGAGGCAGCAGUGGGGAAUAUUGCACAAUGGGCGCAAGCCUGAUGCAGCGACGCCGCGUGCGGGAUGGAGGCCUUCGGGUUGUAAACCGCUUUUGUUCAAGGGCAAGGCACGGUUUCGGCCGUGUUGAGUGGAUUGUUCGAAUAAGCACCGGCUAACUACGUGCCAGCAGCCGCGGUAAUACGUAGGGUGCAAGCGUUAUCCGGAUUUAUUGGGCGUAAAGGGCUCGUAGGCGGUUCGUCGCGUCCGGUGUGAAAGUCCAUCGCUUAACGGUGGAUCCGCGCCGGGUACGGGCGGGCUUGAGUGCGGUAGGGGAGACUGGAAUUCCCGGUGUAACGGUGGAAUGUGUAGAUAUCGGGAAGAACACCAAUGGCGAAGGCAGGUCUCUGGGCCGUUACUGACGCUGAGGAGCGAAAGCGUGGGGAGCGAACAGGAUUAGAUACCCUGGUAGUCCACGCCGUAAACGGUGGAUGCUGGAUGUGGGGCCCUUUUUCCGGGUCCUGUGUCGGAGCUAACGCGUUAAGCAUCCCGCCUGGGGAGUACGGCCGCAAGGCUAAAACUCAAAGAAAUUGACGGGGGCCCGCACAA
rnacentral:rRNA from 1 species